rnacentral:snoRNA from 1 species
CAGUUAGGGGGAUGAUGUAUUAUUAUCGGGCCCUUAAGGUGCUAGCCUUCCUUGAUAAAGCAUCUGAAAUGGACGUGAG